GACGAACGCUGGCGGCGUGCCUAAUACAUGCAAGUUGAGCGCUGAAGGUUGGUACUUGUACCAACUGGAUGAGCAGCGAACGGGUGAGUAACGCGUGGGUAAUCUGCCUUUGAGCGGGGGACAACAUUUGGAAACGAAUGCUAAUACCGCAUAAAAACUUUAAACACAAGUUUUAAGUUUGAAAGAUGCAAUUGCAUCACUCAAAGAUGAUCCCGCGUUGUAUUAGCUAGUUGGUGAGGUAAAGGCUCACCAAGGCGAUGAUACAUAGCCGACCUGAGAGGGUGGUCGGCCACAUUGGGACUGGGACACGGCCCAAACUCCUACGGGAGGCAGCAGUAGGGAAUCUUCGGCAAUGGACGAAAGUCUGACCGAGCAACGCCGCGUGAGUGAAGAAGGUUUUCGGAUCGUAAAACUCUGUUGGUAGAGAAGAACGUUGGUGAGAGUGGAAAGCUCAUCAAGUGACGGUAACUACCCAGAAAGGGACGGCUAACUACGUG
rnacentral:rRNA from 1 species